AACGAACGCUGGCGGCGUGCCUAACACAUGCAAGUCGUGCGAGAAAGUUCCUUCGGGAGCGAGUAAAGCGGCGCACGGGUGAGUAACACGUAGGUAACCUGCCCCCCAGUCUGGAACAACUAGAGGAAACUCUAGCUAAUGCCGGAUGAGACCACGAUCCCUUCGGGGUUGGCGGCCAAAGAUGGCCUCUACUUGUAAGCUAUCGCUGAGGGAUGGGCCUGCGGGCCAUUAGCUUGUUGGUGAGGUAACGGCUCACCAAGGCUUCGACGGGUAGCUGGUCUGAGAGGACGAUCAGCCACACUGGCACUGCGACACGGGCCAGACUCCUACGGGAGGCAGCAGUAAGGAAUAUUGCGCAAUGGACGAAAGUCUGACGCAGCGACGCCGCGUGGGGGAUGAAGAUCUUCGGAUUGUAAACCCCUUUCGGGAGGGAAGAUGGAGUGGGUAACCACUUGGACGGUACCUCCAGAAGCAGCCACGGCUAACUUCGUGCCAGCAGCCGCGGUAAU
rnacentral:rRNA from 1 species